GACGAACGCUGGCGGCGUGGAUUAGGCAUGCAAGUCGAACGGUAGGAUACCUUCGGGUAUCUGAGAGUGGCGAACGGGUGAGUAACACGUAGGUGAUCUACCCUCAAGAUUGGGACAACCCAGGGAAACUUGGGCUAAUACCGGAUGAAAGCAGCAGUGAUGUUGUUUGAAAGGUGGCGUAAGCUGCCGUUUGGGGAUGAGCCUGCGCUCUAUUAGUUAGUUGGCGGGGUAAAGGCCCACCAAGGCGAUGAUAGAUAGGCGGCCUUAACGGGUGGUCGCCCACACUGGGAUUGAGAUACGGCCCAGACUCCUACGGGAGGCAGCAGUCGAGAAUAGUCUACAAUGGCCGAAAGGCUGAUAGUGCGACGCCGCGUGAACGAAGAAGCCCUUGGGGUGUAAAGUUCUUUUAUAUGUGAGCAGUGCUUUCUAUGUGAACAGCAUGGGGAGAGAGAUAUUAGCAUAUGAAUAAGCAACGGCUAAACUCCGUGCC
rnacentral:rRNA from 1 species